AAUACAGAAUGAAGUCAACACUGGAGAUGUUUGGGAGAAAUAUCACAAUCUUGGUUACAACUGGUACAACUCAGCAACCAAGCUGCAAAAGCAAUUUCACCCCAGGACCAUCGAGGGAGUUUAUGGUUCUAUUUUACCAGACCAGUAUGAUGCUGUGUUCCACCAAGAAAUGGCUCAUGUCACACCUGAAAACACAGUGGGCUGGAGGAGGUGAAGCCAUGUAGUCUCACAGCUCAGGUUUUCUGUUGUUCUCUUGCUUUUCUACCUGAGCAGAAAGUCCUACAUUCAGCUUCAGGUUUAUAUCCAGAUUUUUGAGAUCUUAGCGUACAGUUGGUCUGUGAUUCAGCAGUUCUCACUGCAGUAGUUUUGCAGGAUCAGUUCCCUUAACACUGUAGCUGCAACUGUCCUGUUUGUGCCGCUUCCAGUAGCAGCCAGCUGCUGUGCUGCAGGGGAUCCCAUCACAUGUUAUGUUAUUAAGUUAUGUUUUCAAAACAAUACAGAAUGAAGCAGUGCACGUUGCACUGCUACUGGUCAGAGGCCUCCUGAAAUCAGAAUUUAUCUAAAUUUCUGCCUUUAUCCCCACAAUCACUUUUAAAGCAUAUUUUUAUACAAUUUCGAGAAGUACUUCUCUCACUCUCUGAGCACUGCUGAACACCCAGAAAUUAGAAGCAGGUGAGAGCACUUAAACUAGGCAAGAUGGUCUGGGACUGUAAAACUGAGCUACAGAGAGUCUCACACCCAAACUUCCCCCUUGCAUCAAAUGAAGUUACUGAAUGAAGAAAAAAACAGACCAACAGCUUCGAUAACUGAAGGGCUAUCCAGGGCUGGAUAACUUUGCAAUAUGCAAGUAGAAAGAGCGUUUUCCUUUUUCUCAUUAUUAAGUUCUCAUUUUCUGACAUCUGUGAGUUUGCCACUCUCUGCCUCAGUUUCUUUGCAGCAAACUACACUUCCGCAGAUCAUCUGGGCAUUUUCCUGUUACUGCCUCCCUCCUCUUCCAGAGACCUUCAGUCAUGGUAGUGUCCAGGUUCUCCCUUUCUGUGGCACACUGGGAUUUUUAAUGUUUUGGUCUUCUGUACUAAAGGACUGCAUGCUCUCUAGUCUGCUUUGAAGGGUUUAGUGGCUUGGGACAGCUAGGGACAUGUGAUUAGAUGUGGACAUUAGAUUUUGUCUGCAAUAUAUGAGCGUGGACUAGAUGGCCAUUUCUAGACUCCAUGAGGUUACUUCUCACCCCACACCACCCUCACUCUCCUCCUCAGUGUUUUCAUAACUUAAUACUUGUCAGAACCGUACACUUUUAUGCCAAUUUCUGGACUGAUCAUUGGUCUUUUCUGUAAUGCAAGGUUAGAGAGCAAGCAGUAUGUAUGCACCAUUACAGGGUAAUAGGUUCUAAUAUUCAGAGAAUCCAGGCUACUUUUUUUUCCCCAUGAACUUGCCUGUUCUUUCAGACACAGUUGCCUAUUCUUUUCAGUUCUUGCUGAUAAAGUAAACAGGGCCAGAGCUUUUUCUCUUUCCCUGAAUAGCCAUGCAAAAACAUAUCUAUGCAUUUUCUUAUCCUCCAAUAUAGCCUCAAGCUGUCACCUGCAAAUGGUCUCUGGCCCAUGUUAACUUCCAGCUGUACCCAGCAUUGCUGGUGAGAGACCCCGACCAAAACAGCAGCAUGAGUUGUGCCAGUGACUUGCUCAUAUGGGCACCCACAUGCCAGGUGGCUGUGUUCUGUGUCUGUCUGCUUUAUUAGUACAAAUGUAGCCUAAGGGAGCCAGAAAUGGCUGAUCUUGAGGCAUGCAAAUACCAAGAGGCUGGCAAGAGAGACAAACCCACAGAUCCUGAAGAAAGGUUGCAUAUCUAAGUGAAAAUGCAGACACACAUCUAUUACACAGCUUGUAUGAGGAAUGAUAGCCAUGGGCAUACAGUGGCAUGAGCACUAGCUUUACUAGAAGCCAGAGGAGAUACAAAGGAUCCUCAGCAACAAUAUGUUCUGAUUUGCAUUUUGUAGAGCCAGUGCUGAUGUGCUCUCAGUGCUCUUUUUACCUAUACCAGUCUUGACAACCUAGCAGAAUCAUACUAGCUCAUGCUCUAAUUUAGCCCUCAUUUUGCUGCACGGACAGCACAAAUGCUGGAUUGCCUGCAGUGCAAGAACAAGCCAACUCAUAAGCGCAUAUUGGCUCAAACUAGAGGUCCCUUUAGCCCAUUUCUGUGUCUCUCAUAGUGGCCCACAGCAGAUUCUCAGGGAGUAGCAGGGCAUGCAUCAUAUGUCCCAAAGACAGCAGCUGAGCAAAUCUGGGACAAGGAAGACGAAUGAAAUAGUGUGUUCAUCACUUUUAGAGUCUGGGCUUCAUCCAUGUGCUCUGGCAAAGGGGAAGAGUUUUCUGUUUACAUACAUCACAUCACUUCUACCAUAAAAACAAAUGGCUCUUUCUGGCCUGUUGUAAUGAACAGCAGAAAUGGUACCAUCCAAAGCACACUGCUGUUCUGCCCCUCCACACAAGCCUGACAUAGCACAGCUCCUCACAAGCCAUUGAAACAAGAGAGAGGCCUUGCUUUUUUGAUUUCUUUGUUACAAGAUCUAUAACAGGAUUCAGAUCUUGUGGCACCUUUGAAUCUGGGGAUCAUCUGGUCCAAGUCAGGUUGGAUAAAGACCAUUCUUCUCCAGUGUGCUUUUCCUGCAGCACAGCUGAAAUAAGGAGCACUGUGUGCACACAGGCAUCUCUUUGCUCUGAGUCUGGGCCUCACAAAUCUCUCUGAGGCUGUGGAAAGCCUUCCAGCCCUCGGCUCCUCUGCAGCAACAUCGUGAGCUAGUUCUGCUACCACCCUGCAGGCCACAGUUGUCUCAUUGUUCUGGGGAGCUGAUGGUAGAUGUCCCAUCAUGAGUGGAAGAGUGUACCUAGGAUGGGUCCAUCCACUCUGAAAUAUUCUGGUUUUUUUCUCAGAAAUCAGGAUUAAACAAAGCAGGUCAAAUUGGCUUGCCUGAAUAUACAAGGUGAAUAUACAAGCUUCGACUACUACUGCCUGAGCCUACCCCUAAGAAGCAUCUUCAAUGAACAGAAGAGAAGGCAGUCCCAAAGGUGGGUGAAGAAAAGAAAAAGAAGGAAGAUACUAAUGUAAUAAGCCAAUUUUCUAGGACCUAAUGACAACAGCACAUUUACACAGCUAAACAGAACCUUUGUGUAUCCUCCUGUAAUGUCAGGCCACUAAAACAACCUCAGCAAUUUAAUAGACUUUACUCUUCGUCUCACUUUUCCUCUCCUUUCCAUACCAGUGAUCCUCAAGCUUUGCCAGUAACAUGUUAAAAGACAACCACAACCCAUGAAGAGGUAGCUCCUGUCCAUACACAUAUGUGCUGAGAGUGGUUUUGUCUAAAUUUGUGUUUCUGCUCUGGUUGCUCACUAGAAGACUUGGGCUAUAAUUCUGAGCUUCAUCUCAGCUUUAAUAAGUGGAAUGCUGCAAACCUUCAAAAACAUCAUUGUUUUGAAGCUGCCUCUGCACGUAACCGAUAGUUUCGCUGUCCCCCAACACAUUUACAAGAGCAGGUAGUAACAGGGAGGGAAUGGCUUCAAACUAAAAGACAGUGGGUUCAGAUUGGAUAUUAGGAAUAAAUUAUUUAUUGUAAUGAUGGUGAAGCACUGGAACAGGCUGUCCAGAGAAGCUGUGCAUGCCCCAUCCCUGGAAGUGUUCAAGACCAAGUUUUAUGGUACUCUGAUCAACAUGGUUUAGUGAAAGGUGUUCCUGCCCGUGACUGGGAAGCUGGAACCAGAUGGUCUUUAAGGUAGGCCAUUCUGUGAUUCUGUGAGCAUUCCCACAGCCCUCAUCAUAUACAUAGUCAAUGUUAGUUGCCUUAUCAUAACAAGAUGGGCAAAACUAACAGAAAUUACAGAAGGUAGCACUACAGCCUGCCAGCUACACCCUUCUAUUUUACUUAGCCUCUCAGAGUCCCUCUGGCUGAGAGGGUGGCCAGACUUGUGCUGGAGGCUUGCAAGUGUAUGCCACAUCAGUUUACCCAGACUUAAAGCAGAGAGUCACAAGCAGAGGUUUGUCCUCAUUGUUAUUCAAAAUAAGAUACUUCAAUACAGCCAUGCUGCUGAUGCUUUUGUAUCAGAAGGCUCAUCUUCUGUAUGUGCCCUACAGCUGGUCUUAUGCAUGUGACUGCCAUGUCUGAGCACAGCUUGAGCAUGGGGGGGACAGCCUUUUGUGUGCUAUUUCUUGCCGGCUUGGCCCUACAGCAUGAAGUCAUGAUGCUGCAGUUGUUUCGCACCGUCCCCUAGUGGGCUCAGGCUUCCUCCCCUGAAAGAAGUGCAUGUCCUGGAAGACAGGGAGGAUGGACACCUGCUUAAUAUCAGUGCUUGGCUGUGAGUACUCCUCUGAACACCGCCAGCAUCACUCAGCGAGGUUUGCCCCUACACAGCCAGCAUCUCUCUGCUCAGUCAUUUUUGGUCUUCCCUAUCUCCUGUGUUCUUUGUGCUGCCUUGACUUUCUUUUUUCUUUCCCUACCUCUCCCCAUUUCUUUUCCCUUUGGGACUUUGCUCUGCCUCUCCCCUUCAGGCUUCCUGUCUCCCCUCCAAGCCAGCACUUCCGACAGCAGGAAUUUCAAGAUAUGGCAUGCUCAUACAUUUUGUAUUAGCUCUAGGCUCUUAAGCCUUUUGACAUCAUGGGGUUACACAAACUAGCAAGCACUGUAGCCCAUGAAUGUACCUGGAAGUAAGAGAAAAGGAGAGGGACUGGAAAUUAAAUGCUUAGAAACAGGAAUGCCAUACUUUUGAAAAUUUAACUAGCUGUUCAUUCAGUCUGAAAAUGUUGAUGCACUAAGAAUUCACAUUAGAAUUAAGGGGGGGGCGGGGAGAAAAAACACUUGCUGGCAAAGGCUGAGGAUAAACCCAGCAUUUCUUUAUCACUGCCUAGGGUAAAGAAAAACCUUAAUCACAAUACUUGUCUUUGAAUAAUAUUUCAGUCAUAACAGCACAUUUCUCAGAUUCUGCAUGAUAAGUGCAUUAAUAUUUAUUCAUUCUCUACAGCCUUUAGAUAAUUCCUGAAGGAUCUUAUUUUGCUAGCGUUGAUGGUUCCUUACUUUUUUUCUCCUUCUGUACACUUGUCCGAAGUUUGAUCACCAUAUAUCAGCAUCUUGCUUGUCUUUGGAAACCUAUUCCUGUGAACGUGGUAAACAAAACUUGCUGAGUUUGUUCUUAAGCCUCAAAACUAAUCUUUGGGGCAGAGACCUUCUGCCAUGGUAGACCCUGGUGGACCUCAGGCUUAGUACAGAAACUAUUCCUGUUGAAACUGGUGAGACUGGGAAAGACUUGCAGUCAACCUUUUUACACUAGUUUUCCUUUCAAUCCCAAAUGUUUGCCAUUCAUGGAUAGGUAGUUCUCUUUUAUAUUCCGAAUCCACAUCCUGUCUUCCUUACACAGGAGGGCUACUUUGGAGACUAGAAGAGUAAAAUCAUGUCCCUUUUGACUUUGCUAUUUAAAAACAUGUAUCUUUGCACCUCUAACACCUUAGAAAUGCUUUCCAAACUCUAAAAACUUCUUAAAAAACUUAAAUACUAAACACAAUUGAAUUUGUCUUCACCUACUGACAUUCAAACAUGAAGGAGGUUUGGUGAAUUUUUAUAAUUUAAACAAUGGCUAGGUGAACAUUUUUUAGUCUAUGUUAAGGCCACCGUCUUUUCAAAAUGUUUGGUUUCUAUGAAAGUAUUAGUACCUUCAAAUUACAUACAUCUCUGUUGGUUUCCAGUUAUAAAAACAGGAUAGAGAAGACUGAGUAUUCAGACGCUGGCACCUGGCCAGUUGAUUUUGCAGAACUCAUUUACAAAUUGUAUUUUGAGCAAAAUUACUCAUAUUAAAAAGUCAGAACUAGAUAAGACCACCAUCCUCCAAACAGUUUAUAGGCAAAGACAAAUCUGUAGUCCUUCACCAAAUGUCUGUGUGCAUAUUUACAUAAAGCCAGAGCACUCUAAAUUUCUAGAAGCAAGCACAUUUGAAUGAGACCAUGUCUCUUUCGUUCGCUUUGAUACAUCAAAUACUAACUCCUAAUCAUACUGUUCAGUCUUUGGGGAUAAAAAUGCAAUUCUGAGAAGAGUGUAAAUGCCCUUUAUGCGAAGAAAAGUUUCUUAUCAGCAGUAAUUUUGUGAAUAGGCUCUGUGAUGAUAUCUGAAGUGCUGUGCUUCACCCACAGAAACUCUGACUCCCACUUUUAUUUUUUGGAUCAGUAAUUUCCAAAAACUGGAGUGAUAGCUAGGCAGAGAGAGGCCAACAUGGGACAUUUAUUUUUAUAUCAGUGGAUCACAGUCUCUUUUUCAACUAAACAAUUCAGAAAAACAAAAGACACUAUCUUUCUGGAUGGUUGUAUUUCUUUCAUAAACAACGUCAGUUGAUAAGGGCAUAUUUUUGUUCUCAGCUAAGGAGCAUUUUAUCAUGCAAAGGUAUCAAACUGUUAUCUAGUCAUGCACUUGUCCCAGUGGAAAAAAAAGCUUUUCAAAAGCUGAAAGAGAAAAAUGCAAUAGCUUUAGUAUUCAAAAAUCUCCUACUGACAAUACGGGACAAUAAUGACAUGUUAAAAGUAAAUACUGGCUUUAGUUUUUUUGUAAACACAAAUGAUACAAAUCUUUGGAUCCAAAUUAAUUUCAGCUACAUUUACAAACCAAGAAGAAUCCAGACUAGUUGUGAUGAUUUCAAUCAGGACUAUUCAAUAAGGCAAGAAUAAAGGCCUUUUGCUUAGAGCAGGCACUGGUUUUAAGCCUACUUUGUACUUUGUACAUGUCCUUGGAUUUGUAAUCUGAUUUUCAGCUAUCCUUAAUAUUCACAGGAGCUGGAGGAUUUUCUUUAGAAACUGGAGUGGUUGCUACUCCCACAUCUUAGGCAGCAUAUCGAUCAAACCCAUUUCCAAGACAGGAGUCCCAAAUCCCUCCCAGAGCUUGGAGCCCAGAUGCCUCAGAGCACUGAAAUGAUGGAUCUCUUCCUGGGAGCAGAUUACUAGUGCACAAACACUGUGAACACCUCUCUAGUAGCGUACCUUUCGCUGAUGUCAUAUCUGGAAAUGAAUUCAAUACAUUUCAUUUUUUCAGAGCAUCUUGUUUCAAACACAAAACACAAGAUUGCUCCCUCCCAUACAUGAGAAACAAUAUUCUGGCUGACAUAAAUAAACAUAUUACACAAAUCAUGGGUAAAAAUCUCACAAUAUUUGUCUCACUAGGAAUAGUCAUUGUCUCUUUGCUGCCAGGCAGCAAUACCCUGAUGAGAACUUACCUUGGUGACCAGCAAAGUAUGAUAAAGCAUUGGGACCUAGAGCAGACGUGCUUUACAUGUAGUUCAGCAUGCAGUACAACCUUCCUUUUAAUCAUGCAGAAAUCUAAAUGCACAGCCACCGUGAACAUUAAUGGGAAGUGAAAAUCCAUCAUUAACCCAUGCACUGACUUUCUCCUGGCUAUAUUGAUGAAGAAUAAACACAGCAACCUUGUCUAAUAUUUUAUUUUAAUUAGAGUAAAAGUAAACUGCAAUAAGUACACAACACAGGGAAUUAACAGAAAAUUAAACAAGCUCCAUGUGUAAACCUGUGAAAACACUCUGAGGCAAUUUGAAUUCUUCAUCAGGCUGGGGACUGUACACAUAUUUAUUUAUUUAUUUAUUUUAUUGAGUGCUCAUGUUUCAUUCCUGAGCAGGCCUGCUCGUAUUGAUUCGAACUCAUGUUCAGUGAAGUGUGUGUGUGCAAAUGUCUAAUGGGAGCAGAGACCUGAAAGAUAAAAUGGUCUUUUUUUGGCCAGACCCUUUGAGAUUUGUCUGGCCCAAAGAGGAUGUUAUUGCACAAAUGGCACAACCUCUUUUUGAAGCCUAGAGGGGAACUCGUGAGGCAACAUUUGUGCAUUGCAGCUGAGAAAAGCUCUAAUUUGUACUGCUUAUCUCUGAUUCAUGCACAACAGAUCUGAGAGGAGGAUUUUGCCCUUAAUUUGUUCCCUGGUGUCUACACAUUUUAAGCAUGUUAGAUCAAUGAACAAUGUUAUAUUCCAUAUGUGCCACAAUGCAUAGACCAAGCUAGGUACACUGAAGAUGAAGAGGCAGUAUCAACUUUGAACAUCCUGUCUGUAAAACAGCUUUAAACGUUAGGCAGAUGAGUUUGUAAAGUGAAUUAAUUAGCAAUAAAGACCAAAGGCAUAUUCUGUGUGAAUAAACAACAUAGAUUUAGAUCUUAGUUAAAAAUAGUGAAUGUCAGCUAAUAAGGAGGUUCGUGGAGUCUAUCGGGCUUUGCAAAUCCUGCUUUUCUGAAAGGAAAAGUAUUACGGUUCGUAGCAGAAAAUGCCUAUGUAAGGUUUGAAUCUCCAUGGUGGAGUAAGGCUUGAAGUUCCAAGAUUCAGCAUCUUUAGCUUUCUGUGAGAAAGGUCUUUUUAUAGUUGUUUUUUGUUUAGCUAGGGUUUUCUCCAGGGAGGGCAAGAGGGCGUUAGCUCAAGAAUUCACUUGAUAGAUUUCAGAUCAGCAGCUAAUCUGUCACUUCAAGGGGUGACAAUGACAGGAGGGAAAGACUUCCUAAUUUAUUCAUAAAAUACUUUAUCUGUCGAUUCCAUUUAUUUAGUUCAUUCUUCAUAGGUAAAAAUAUUGAAAAAAGGAAAUUAAUCCUGACCUUGGAGGUGAGAGGUAGAAUGCUGAUAACUUCCACUCGGGGGCCAUGAGUAGGCCAGGACUUUUUUCACCCAUGAGUGUGAAAAACAUGAUAGACUGAUAUCUCAUGCAUUUUACCCCUUGAAUUCUUGUUGAUACCACAAUACCACAAAGGCUUGACUGCCUUAUUAGCAACACUUACUGGAAGCUCAUAUUCAGUAUGUCAAGCCACGUACCUUGUUUAUUAUUUUGGCAUAGCACAAAAAUGCCUAUAGUACAUUUUGUCUGCCAUUAUGGACUUGCUGCCAGUGAACAGAUCAUACCAUGUCAGAAAUGUCAGAAUUUUCUGAAGGAAUUCUUAAUAAAGUUUAAGAAUUGACAUAUAUUUUUCAGUGAGCUGCAGCUUAUUUGUAAGUUCAUCACAGCCUUGAAAGAAUUAUUGUAUGAUUUACUGAGCAAAGACUGAGCAGCAAGAAUUCAUUGGCCAAAUCCCAAUAUAAUUUUCUUCUUUUAUAAGUGGUGAAAAAGCAUUUAGAAUUUAAUUUCACUAGGACUCUUAUGUCCUUAAAUCUUAGGUGAUGUAGCAUAUAAUUUAUGGAGGGCAGUAUGAUACCAAGCAAUUACAUUUUGAUUUCAUAAUGGUAAUAUGGAAGAGUGUUUUGUUGCUAAAAGUUGGUUCUUCAUAACAGAAUAGAGUCUACUCGUUCAACCACACUGAGGUACUAUAACUUUUCUUUUAAUUGAAGACUUUUUCAUCAUCAAACUCCAGAUGUAAUGCUUAUUAUAUAUUACAGGAACACUGAGUCUGUGCAAAAUAAGGUGUGAAGACUCGAGAACUUGAUUAUGUCUUAGCUAAUGGAGUGAGCUUGAUUGGGAACUGAACACCUUAUUUACUGAUCUACACUAUCCUCUGAGGUGGUAGAUGGCCCAUCCUUGGAAACAUCCAAGGUCAGGUUGAAUGGGGCUCUGAGCAAUCUGAUCUAGUGAAAGAUAUCCCUGCUUAUUGCAGGAGGAAUUGGGGAGGAUCUUUAAAGAUCCCUUCCGAAUGAAACUAUCCUAUGGUUCUAUGACUCUGUGCUUCACUUAGGAUGUUUUUUACAGACACUCCCAGUCUUUCUCUGCCGGAUUUCAAUCUUCAAAAUUCAGAUGGUUUGCAGUGAAGCAUAUAUAUUUUGGAUAGUAUGAGAUUUUUGCAGUUACUCCAAAACUUAUUGAAGGGGAAAUCUUCACAAAAAUGCAUCUCUAAAGAAACCCUGAGGUAUACUUUUCAAAGGCAUAUAAUUUGUCCAAGUUUGAGUUUGUUUUCUUGGGUCUUUUUAGCACAUUCAGUAAUGCAUCUUGACAUGAGAAUGUUUUCUUGUCAGGUGUCACAACUUUACACCAAAGAAUGGAAACGUUAAUAUUUAUCAAAAUACGGCUGUGCAAAUAGACGUAACAGUAUCUCUUUCCUUAAUCUCAUUCUUGGAAUGGCAAAUCAGUUUUUAAUUAAUGUAUUUAAAAAAAAAAAAAGAAAAAGGAAGAUGCUAGAGGCAUGUAUUUCUUGUAAAAAACAUAAGUUUGCUCUUUUAAAUACAGCAAAAAAUCAUAACACCACCAAACAGAGAGCUACUAUAAAAAACAAAGGGUAUCACCAUGUGAAUUUCAGACAAGUUCUUCAAUUGUGGAGAUCUUUGUGUGUAAAGACAUAUCUCUCAAGAAAUACAGAAACAGAAAACAACAGUACUUUACAUGGUUGGUAUAUCUUGGCAGCACAAGGGACAAAAAGUUUUUUGGGAAGACUUCACAUUUUUGUUGUGUGGCUUUUGGUUUUGUCCUUACAGAAGAGCAGGACAGGGAGAGUAGUGCACAAGUUAGACUCAUCCCAAUAUGCAGUUGGGAUGGAGCUGAAGUGCAAAGUAGGACCUUCGAGCAGAGACCUGUUCCCUGAUCACAUGGUUUAGACAGGAAAAGAAAGUCUUUAUAUAUUAGCCUUUACAAUUAGACCUCAGAGCUCUUCAGCUUUUUGUUUCCUUUUACUUCAUCCACCCUUGCUCAAAGAGAGUUUUCCAAUUGUUUCCUCAAUCUAGUAUUUUUCCCUAAUUAUUUGCCUUUAGCCCGUAAUAUCUGAAAUUGCUAGAUGGUCUCCAGUAUAAAUAUUUGUUAGACCAGGACUCCAUAGUACAUAAAUCACAUGGGAACAAAUGCACUCAAUACUGCCAACGUGACUUAUGUUCAACAAGUUCAGUACACACUAGCAACCAAGGUAGUGUAAGAAGAUAAUAUUUAUACCAAGGUCAAAAAAAAUAUAGCUGGUUUAAAGAAGAUAAAAAGAAAUGUGUAUUUAAAUGUAAGUCAUGAUUUAGUUAUUGAUUUAUCAACUCAGUUAUGCAUGAAUAUAUCAUUAGGAGAUGUUAAACCAGAAUAUCAGUGAAAGUUUUAUCCUUUGAACUAAGCUAAUGGUCACAGUGACUUGAAUAUAUAAUAUGUAGGUUCAUAUAUAUAGAGAUAAACAUUUCUAUGCCUAUGCAUAAAUGUAUGAUCUACAUAUACAUAUUUAAACAUAAACAUUCACAUGCCCAUCCAUAAACUCAUGAUCAGAUAUAUGCAUGUCAAUACGUUAUUGCAUGUAUGUACAUGUAUUUAUAAAUACAUAUGUGGAAAGCUAAUGAAAGAGAAGCAAAGCACCUGAAAUUACUUCUACAUCUUCAUUUACAGGUCUCUAUGUGUCAUAAAGGGCCACCAGUACUGGCCUCAUGGCAAAAGCUACUCCCUGAGUGAUCAGAGCUCCAAGGGCCCUUGUGUCACUGGAAGCUAGAAUUUUGGAGGAGCUUGCUGUGACAUUCAUGAAUCUAGUUUCCAUUAAUCUGUGAGACGCUUAAGCAGGUAAUAACCAUUGCUGUUAAUGCAAGUUAUGUAUAUAGCAUCCUGUGAUACUCAGCUGGGAGAACUGUACCUUAAAGAAAAGGUAUUUACAGGUAUAAGGAUCACACCUGAAUUUAAUUAAGUAAUUAGAUUAAUAAAAUGGGGCAUCAUAACUCUUCUGCUUGGGAAAAUUAAUAUUAGAAUCCUAAAAAUGGGGGAAAACUCAGCAAAUGCCUGGAGAGAAGGGAGAAAUACAAGGGAUAGAGGGUGGAUUUUUACAGUAGCAAACAUUGGGUUGCUUUUUCACUGGUUUUGUCCUCUGGCUUCUUCAAAACAAAUGGAUAUGAGUUCCAGCUAUACCACCUUUCUUCUACAUCUCUUCCUUGCAAAGCAUAUUGCAGUAGAGAGCUCCUCCGUCUGAGCAAUGUAGGACAUCAGGCAGAGCUGUACAAAUGGUUAUGAUUUAUCUAUUUUGAAGCUAUUCAGCAGCACCUUUUUGCAUUGUAUUGGGUCUGGCUGAGAUGGAGUUAAUUUCCCCAUAGCAGCCCUCACUGCAGCUGUGCUUUGCAUUGUUAGCUAGAAAGAUGUUGAUAACACACCAGUGUUUUGGCUGCUGGUGAGCAGUGCUGGCAUGACGUGGGUACUGUCUCCCCAACAUUCCUCACUAUCAGUAGGCUGGGGGUGGGCAAGGUCUGGGAGGGGACAAACCCCCAGGUCAGCUGACUCAAAUUAACCAAAGGGAUAUUCCAUACUAUAUGACGUCAUCUCAGAUACGAAAGCUUAGGAAAUAAGGAGGAAGGGGAGGGGCAUUCAUGAUUUAUUAUGUUUGCCUCCCGGAUCAUCUACUCUGUGUGGUGAAGCUUUGCUUCCCAGGAGGUGGCUGGACAUUGCUUACUGAUGUGGAGUAGAGAUUAAAAUUAUUGGGUUUUCUCUUUGCUUCUGCACACACCAACUUUCGCUUUUGCUUUAGUAAACUGUCUUAUCUCAACCUAUGAGUUGUUUUCCAUCUUAUUCUCUCUCUUCUGUCCAGCUGAGAAGGGGGAGUGAUAGACUGGCUUGGUGGGAACCUGGAGUCCACCAAAGUCAACUGACCAUACAUAAAUAGCACGCAUCUGAUCACAGAUCUCCUUUGACUGCUGGCAGAGUUUGCCAGAGAAGAGCAUCUUUUUGCAGAGUGAAGUUAAAAAUGGUGGCUUGUGUUUUCUCAGGGUUUCUUCCUAGACGCUCCUGCUCCUCUUUUGUGACUGGAUCUGUGGGAAGGACUGAGAAAAGAGGAGCACAGUUCAGAAAAUAAAAGCAAGGGAUAAUGAAUAUAAUUUGUAAUUUCAGAUUUACUAAAGAUGUGGAUAAGUGUUAGGAUGUAUUUUGUCCCUACCUACAGAUCUUUGACCAUAAGAUAAUUUGGAGAAGAAAGUUACUUGGGAGGGGGGGAACACACAGGCUGCAUGCAGAAAAUGGAUAACCCUCAGAAUGUAACAUAGAUCCAAAAUUAGAGUGAUAUCUAGGUACUCAGGAGCUCCAUUAGAUGUCCCACUUUGCUUUCUAAAAUUCUUUGCUCCUGCUUGCAACAGAAACUUAAUUUUUAAAAAGGCUAGUUAACCCAAGUCACAUUUUGAGUCAUAGUAUAAUUAUAGUCAAUUUUUUCUAUUGAAUCAGCCUAAGAGUUGAUUCUUUUGUGCUGGCCGAAGAAUGUUACUCUUUGACCAUUUUAGAAAUACAGUAUUAACUGUGUCUGAAAAAAUGCAAAAUACUUGCCAUGAUAUGGAAGUGAGUCUAAGAAACUGAAUAUUAAAUUCUAUAAUGAGAGAUACAAGUGAGACAGAUGAUUUGAUUAAACACAGAAAUAAUGGAUCAUGCUGGAUUUUCAUUUUCCUUGUUUGGGAACUGCAUGAUUGUGCCAAAAAUAAUUGUUAUUUUUAAAUUAGAUAAAUAAAGCCCCAUUCAAUUUUGCUUUCAAAAUAAAAGUAUUUCAUCACUUUUAUUUAUAUUCAUUGAAUUCCAGGGUUAAAUUUCAGAAACAGUAGGAUACUUACUUUGAUGCUGAGAUCAGAAAAAUGUCCACUCUUAUUUUUUCCAACACUGAAUUGAACACAAAAUACUUUCUGAAAAUCAGUUGGGCUUUUUCAGCCAAAAUUUCUUAAGUAUGCCUGUUCAUUGUAGAACUGAGGAAAUGAGGAGAGGAUAAAGACUGCUGAGGAUUGUUUUUUUUGUGUCUGCAAAGCAUUUUUUAUCAUUUUCCUUUGAAGCCUCUGCAAGUUAUCUGGUGUUUGUGUUAACUUUUUAUAUGAAAUGAGAAACUGAUUUAUCCUCCUAGGAACCAUUUUAAAUAUCAGAGUAAGUGAAGAGCGGGAACGAAAUCUACCUGACUAAACAUAGCCCAGCACAGAAAGCUCAGCUAUUGGGAGGGUUUGUUCUAAAUUCUGACUUGACUCCUGCAAUAGUGCUAUCCAAAAUCACCUCCUAAAUAAGUGAACAUUGCAGCUUCCACUACGAUGCAUGAAAUUUCUCUCUGCAUGCCUCAAGGUUCUUUUUGACUUAUAACCGCUAGAUUUCAGAGCAAGCAUCUGCAGCAGGCCCAUGGAACGAAGAAAAAGUUUCAAAGAUGGAGAGAGCAGUUAAAACAGACACUUGGAGGGACAGUGACGCCGCAACACCCGCCAGGAACUGAAACAUUGUGACGCUAGACAUAUAAAGACAGUUUUACGGAAAAGGGAGUUUUAAUAUUGUCAGUGCAUGCGUUAAAAUGGUUGUACCCUGUUUUUUUCGAGUUUAUUGUAUUUCUUCUCCUCAUGUUUAAUCCCCAUUUUCCUAUUGGUCCAAGUUUGCUGCAUUGCAGAUGUUUCCCUCAUUGGUCCUUACUCAUCUCAUGUUCCCUCCUUCCUUCCCUGGAUGGUUAUCACCCCUGUCAGUCCUAUGCUCCUCCCUAUUUUCCAGAACCUUCCUACCAUACCCUAUAAAUAGAGCUAGCCACCUCCAAUAAACUGUGAUAGCUGUGAGCUAACUACUACUCUGCUCGAACCCUGUGAAUUUGUCGUGUCAUUCUUUCCACAAUCAACUGCGGCAAGCAUCCAUGGGGUAAAAUAAAAAAAAAAUGCAGAAAAUACAGGGUGAAGAGAUCUCAGCGACUGAAGAGAUUCUUGUUGCUUUUGCAAUGGGUUUGUUCUUUUGCGGUUUUGUCUUAUAUGUUAGUGGCAAUAUUGGAGCGUACUGUGCUGAACUAUCAGUAGGUGUACAUUCAGAGCAGCAGAAGGAGGUCCUAGAUGAUUGUCUUCUUUGUUAGCUAAAUAGUAAAUAUUCAUUUAUGCCCGCUAUGCCACAUAGUAUAAACCAGUGCCUUCACUAGCUGGGCGUGUUCCAGAAGGCCAAGGAAGUCUCCUGCUUGACCAAUUCCGCAUUUUUCCGUGUUUCUCUAAAAAGUAAGGAAAAUACCUCUGAUUACAUACAAGUUUUAUGGGUCUUACCUAGAGGGCACAUGCAAAUGAACUACAAAAGCAUGCCUGGCAUAUGACAAUCUUUUCUCCAUAAAAACAUGAACAGCUUCCAUUCACAAGUACAGAAAUCCCUCUUGUUUCUGAAGUGAAGUAAGACUGGUUUGAGGUCUGCUGUCAGUUCUAAAGCAUAUAUUAAAGAUUUGUCACUGUUCGAUCUAACUGUGAUCUCAGAGAUUCACAGAAACUUGCAUUGGGUGUCACUGUGUAGAAGCUGACCCCUGUGAAUCUGAAGAAGUGUUGAUAAAACAGAUAGAUGCAAGGAAUAUGUUUUGGUGUUAAGAUUUCCAAACAUUGCUAAUAAGCAAUAAGACAUCAUUUAUGGCUCAGAAUUGGAACCAGAAUCUUUUCCAUUUGAAUGUGACUUGUGAUUUUAUCCCUUUGGAAGUGACUUCCUUGCCCAUAUAUAUACACACACACACAUACACAUAUAUAUAUAUAAAAAGACUUUUGAUGAUAUUACCCCAGUGCAAACUUUGCAUCCAGGAUAGAAUUGAGCUCACAGAAAAUGUAUCCAGAACCAUAUAUACCUAUAACUCAUAUGGAUAUUGAGAGCAGUAGUAAAAUUAGAUUUUCUCAAUUUAGAAAGUAGGACCAACAGGUAUAUACAUACAACAUUUGCAGUUAUGUUAUAAAAUAUUUCUGAGGCCAUUAAAGAACAAAAUAACAUGAGAACUGUCCUAUAGGUAUUCUAGUAGUGUUAAUGUCUACUCACUAGCUGGAUUAAUUUAGUUAUUACAACAACUUUUCAUAUUUCUUAACGUUGGUCAGAAUUUUUUGACUUGUUAGGAAAGCACAUUGAUAUUGAGUAUACUACACAGGCAGUUUGAUUUUUCAUAACAGUUGAUGAGAACCUGUUUCCAUAUCUUGGACAAUAUGAGCAAUUUGAGUAUCGACGGGAACUGAUCGCAGGGAAUUUUGGUAUCACUGUAUUAGAGGCAUCUCAGAAUUUACUGUAUUACACAGAUCAAUUUGAAGCAGCAGUAUGUAUAAUUGCUGUUGUACAUUGAGCUCAUAGGAUAGUUGCAGCUAAAUGCAGGUAAACAAAGUUUAUCUAUUUCUGCUUUAGAUAGGUUGGAGUUCACGGAUCAAUCACUAUUAGGCCUGUAAAACUAAACCUGUGGAUUUAUCCACUGAAGUAUCGUGCAAGUGAAUUUACCUAGUAUAAUGAUGUUAAGGACUGUGACUUUCAUAAGAUAUGUCAUUUGCACAUCUAACACACUAGGUGGUAUUCAGACCUAUAAAAGUCAAGGUCCAGAAUGAAGUGUCUAAAACAAAACAAAACACAAUAUCUGUAUCCACUUUCCUUAACUGGGGAUUGAUAUCUAUUUUUCCUGGUCCUUUCUAUAAUGAAACAGUUCAUUUACAGAAAUGUGUAUUUAUAGCAAUAUAAGACCAAAUCAUUACUCUAAUGAAAAUCACUGGAAGCAUUUUACCCUUCUAUUGACACUUUGGGAGUAAAAUAUGAAUUUCUAACUCUGCACAGAACUUUCUGGCAUGGUUGUCAUUGACAGACCAGGCUGUUAAUAUACAGAGGUUUUAGAACUUAAUUUAGAUAUGUUUUCCAUUUUGAAGUUAUAAUGACUAAGUACACCUGCUCACUUAAAAAUUAUUUGUUAGUCGGGUAGUUUUGAAUAGCUUAAUCAUUUGGUUGUCUCAGUUUGUAUUGUAGGCAGUUCACCUGCUCUUCAUCUAAACUUAAAUGUUUCCUGUUUACACAUCAGAAAAUAUAGAAAGAUGAUAAUAUUUAGAAAACAAAGAAAAAAUGAAAACUGUGUUCAAACACAUUAUUUAUAUAAUUAUCCUAUAAUUAAAGUAAUUAUAGUUUGUGAUGAAAAACAGUCUAUUUUUUUGAAACAUUUGCAGGUUUCUUGAAGGGUGUUUAGUGAUCAUCACAGAGAAUUGACAAGAAAAACACUCAGAGAUGUUCUCAUUUCUGCAAAAGAUUUAAGCUGCAUAAGACAUGUUCUUCAUGAAACAACCAGGUAUCUUUACAGUCCAUUAAUUGGCAGGGCUGUACAAAAGGGAGACAGACUGAUGUUCAAAGACAUCUCCUCAUGAUCAGGAUCCAAGAAACAAAUCACAGAAUAUGUGGAGUUGGAAGGGACGCACAAGGAUCACCGAAUCCAACUCCUAGCGAUGCAUGGGACCAUCCCCAAGAGUCACAUCAUGUGCCUGAAAGUAUUGUCCAAACGCUUCUUAAACUCACAGCUUGGUGCUGUGACCACUUCCCUAGGGAGCCUGUUCCAGUGCCCAGUCACCAUCUGGAUGAAGAACCUUAUUCUAUAUCUAACCUAUACCUCCCCUGACACAACUUCAUGCCAUUCCCUCAGGUCCUGCCACUGGUCAUCACAGAGGAGAGAUCAGUGUCACCAGAUGACAGCAGAAAACACAGAAAAUCUGUUUACAGAUGCACUUUAAUCUUUGUCUAAUUUUAGUGUUAAGAGCAGUUUAAUGAUUUGUUUUACAGUCUGAUCACUGAGCUCCUGAGUUCAGCACACAGCUGAUAUCUGAUAUCUGAGGACCUUCCUUCUGAGUCAAAGCCCUUUGCAGAAUUGGUUUCUAUAGAUAUAACAGGUCUGAUGUCAUAACAGGUACCAAUACACAAACAAAAAUUGCCAUGUUGGUUUGCUCUAAUUAUCAAUAAAAUGGUAAAAUAUUUUAAUUUCAACUCUUUCUUAAGCUAAUAAUAUAGCACAUUAAGUGCAUCUGAAAUAUGGUUAAAGAGAUGAAAGUAGAAUAAUAAGAGGAGAGAUGCUCUGAGGGAUCUUAAAACCUAGCAGAAACUUCUGGAGAAGCUAAGCCCUUUGGACAGGCAGAGAGAGUUUUCAGACUUAAGAAGAUUCAGGAAGCAGUUACAGUCAGAGUAUCUGCUGCUUUGGGACUUGCUCUGGUUAAUAAAGUGUCCAUCACUUUCUGUUAUAACGGUUCCUUAUUAAGCUUAUCUGCUAUCUGAAUAAUAAAAUCAUCUGUCAACAAUAA